rnacentral:rRNA from 1 species
GAUGAACGCUGGCGGCGUGCCUAAUACAUGCAAGUCGAGCGGACAGACGAGGAGCUUGCUCCUCUGACGUUAGCGGCGGACGGGUGAGUAACACGUGGAUAACCUACCUAUAAGACUGGGAUAACUUCGGGAAACCGGAGCUAAUACCGGAUAAUAUAUUGAACCGCAUGGUUCAAUAGUGAAAGACGGUUUUGCUGUCACUUAUAGAUGGAUCCGCGCCGCAUUAGCUAGUUGGUAAGGUAACGGCUUACCAAGGCAACGAUGUGUAGCCGACCUGAGAGGGUGAUCGGCCACACUGGAACUGAGACACGGUCCAGACUCCUACGGGAGGCAGCAGUAGGGAAUCUUCCGCAAUGGGCGAAAGCUUGACGGAGCAACGCCGCGUGAGUGAUGAAGGUCUUCGGAUCGUAAAACUCUGUUAUUAGGGAAGAACAAAUGUGUAAGUAACUAUGCACGUCUUGACGGUACCUAAUCAGAAAGCCACGGCUAACUACGUG